rnacentral:rRNA from 1 species
GAUGAACGCUGGCGGCGUGCCUAAUACAUGCAAGUCGAGCGAACGGACGAGAAGCUUGCUUUUCUGAUGUUAGCGGCGGACGGGUGAGUAACACGUGGAUAACCUACCUAUAAGACUGGGAUAACUUCGGGAAACCGGCGCUAAUACCGGAUAAUAUUUUGAACCGCAUGGUUCAAAAGUGAAAGACGGUCUUUCUGGCGCGUAUAGAUGGAUACGCGCUUCAUUAGCUAGUUGGUAAAGUAAUGGCUUACCAAGGCAACGAGGGAUAGCCGACCUGCGAGCGGGACCAGGCACAAUGCGACUGCGAGACGGACCAGUCGCCUACGGGACGCAGCAGUGGGAAGUAUUGCAGAACGGGCGCACGCCUGAUGCAGCAAUGCCGCGAGCGGGAUGACGGGCUUUGGGUUGUAAACAGAUUUCGACGGUGCCGAAGCGUGCUUGACGGUAAUGAGUCAGGAAGCCACGGCUAACUACGUG